ensembl:snRNA U2 U2 spliceosomal RNA
AUCGCUUCUCGGCCUUUUGGCUAAGAUCAAGUGUAGAAAAGUACCAAUCUAAAAUUCAUUAAUAAAAAUAUCCACUAAAAAGGUAGGAAAUGAGCCAGGCUUGAUGGCACAUAUCUGUUAUCCCUGAACUCCGGGAGGAUGAGGGAAUAAGAUU